UUUUUAGAGAUUAUGUAGGACAUUCUCUCAUUUCUUCUUACGAAACAAGGCUGAUAAAAUUGCAUACAAGUAUUUUUAUAGUCUUAGACAAUGUACAUUGGUUUAGAUUGAUGGAGAUGAGCAUGACAACGAUGGAUGAAUAUGGGACUUGUGCUCAAAAUUCAAGAGAUAGCAAUAUCCAUAAACCUUACCCAUCAAAUGGGAUGGUCUAUAUGAUGUCGAACUGCUAGACAUUACAGAAUUCUAAACUUGUGAUUAAGGAACACAAUUUGUAUCAUAUUUAGAGAAUUUGUAUAAUUUUGUAUUUCAUUU
rnacentral:lncRNA from 1 species